AAGAGGAAAAUUACUGGAAACAAGAAGGCAUAAUGACUUAGGGGAAAACCUUCGAAGCUGUGACUGUCCGUUUCCUGUCUUGUGCAAACCCUAACUGACCAAAUGAUGAUGAUGAUGAUGAUUUUUUUUUUUUGGAGGGUGGCAGCAACGGAAAGCCUCCAGCCUCCACAUUUGCCAAGCUAACUUGCAGCAAGAGCUGUCUAAUUUAGGGGGUGGGGACUAGGGUGCUUCCUUAAACAGCCAGGAGAGCGCGAGAGAUUGGGCACAGGAGGGUGCGUUUCCCCCUGUCAUCCGUGGCCGCGGCGUCAGGGCAUCCGAAAGGCAGCCGCUCGCAUUCUGGAUGUGUCAUUAACACGUGGGGCUGCGCCGGGCGAACUUUCGAAGGAUAUUUGUCUCCAACUUGGACGGAAACUCCGCGGAAUCGGAAAUGUUUCUGAAUGGUGCAAGGAUCCAGUCGCCUCUUUCUGGUUUGGUCUGCCAUCCAUACUGAAAUGAAAGCAGCUCACAGCGCAGCGUGGUCAGGAAAAGUGGAGGAGAAGGAAACAUGCUUCAAGGGCCCCACUCCCGUGAAGUUCCCCUGGAGACUAUAUAGGACCUUCACUGCUCAACCGGCCUAGGAAGGCUCUUUCCACAAGGCAGUGCUUCCCUGUGGCUGCUUCGAGUGUACCUGAAGUUCAGUUCCAGCAUUGAAGACACAAGCGACAGCGUGUUUGAAAUGAGUUGAUACAUUUAAUAACGUUAAUUCUGGACCUUCCAGGUCAGAGCUUGGCCACAAUGCCAAGUUUGGGCAGCAGCUCCCCACUCUCUACCCAUCUCUGGACAGAGGAGCUCAGUCGAAUGUGAAUUCAGUUGAGUUCCAUGAGGAGGCAGUUAAUCACUUAGCCAUGAUUUCAUGAUGCAGGGUCAAUCAAGUCCAGAAUCUUGUCUCUGUACCAUACUGUUCAGAGGAAGGUGGAAG
rnacentral:lncRNA from 1 species